UUUUUUUUUUUUUUUUUUUUUUUUGGUCUCUGAAAGUGGGGCUCUUAGACUCAUUCAGGUAAUUUGCCAUGUAGGUAGAAGAGGCUUUUGUCCAGCUUCCUGGGCUUUUGAAAAUCCAUCCUCCAGGAGCCCUGGCCAAUCACGGUCCCUGUUCUUCAGCAGAACUUGCAGUUGUCAAGAAGGCGUCUUUAAGAACAGAAUGACAGAACUCUGGGAAUCUGGGCCUGAUGUACUCCUAGUCCUGUUUCUACGGAGCGGGGGGCCUUGGAUAAACCUCGUCUCUUUUCAAAGCCUUGGUUUCCUCUUGUGUCACCCUGAGAAGGUUGGAGCAGGUCCCUGCUUCCAAACAUCCUACUUUCCUGACCUGAGGCAUAUCUAGGUAUUACCUGCCAGCACCUGCACUUCAUAUACACCGAGUAUGAGAGGUUUCUAAGGUACCAUCUGCCUCAGCCCCAUCCUAGACAGUCAUAUGGAUGAACUCAUGUAGUUUAAUGUACCAGGUAGACGUGUGUGUGUGUGUGUGUGUGUGUGUGUGUGUGUGUGUGUGUGGUCUAAAUGAAUUAAAGUAAGUAGACAACCACUAAAAUGAUCUUAAACGUUUCGUUGCCGUCACCACACAUCUCCACCCUGAUGAGAACAUCAGCCUCCCUGACCUCUGAGACCCCAGCCUGCUCCAGGAAUUUGCAAGUCUAUGAAAAAGAACUGUAUCAUUGGACUCAGGUAAGCAAAUGCUCCUGUACACAAAGAAACUGCCUACAGGCCUGGUCAGCUUCAGACCAGAGCGUAGUGUCUGUUGAGAGAAAAACGCUGAAAUGAAAACUGGACAGUUACAUGGUUUAUUUUAGAAGGAGAGAAAGGCACAGAGAAGUUGAGCAAAGUCAUGACCCAUGGCACAACCCAGCCAAAUGCUGAGGAGAGAAAGAUAAACCUUGCAGGAAGGAAGAACCAAGGCAAGAAGAGAAAAUCCACAGACCUGGGGAGGGUGUGCCAUCCUUCAACCCCCGUGAGACGGAGCCUGAUCCCAGCUGUCUGGGCCUGAAUGGAGCUUUCACCAGGGACCCUGGCUCAAGGAUGCCUCUGAUGGUGACAAAAUCAUCAGCAAACUCCAUGCAGACGAGGUAAGGAAUCAGCAGAGAAGGAUACACACUUGAUCUCGCCAGUCCUCUGUGGGAGAUCUGGCAGGGAAUUAGGAAGGGUUACGCGAUGGAGUUCCCGUCGAGAAUGGGAAUAACACACACACAUUACUGUGUAUGAAAUAGAAAACUAACAAGGACCUACCGUAGAGCACGGGGAAACCUACUCAAGAGCCUAUAAUAACCUAUAUGGGAAGAAAGAAGGCGUAUACGUCUAGGUCCAACUGAUUCACUUUGUGGUACACCCGGAACUACAACAGGAAGUCAACUAUAUGCUAAGAUUUUUUAAUAAAUACAUAAAGUACUAAAAGAGGAAAAAAGAAGAAGAAUUUGCGUCCCCCAAGAGCCAACUUCUGCCCCCUUGGGGACACUACCGGCCUCACUGAGAAUGCAUGUGAUCGAGGUACAUAGAAAGGAUGGUGGGAAUGCAGAGGGGGGGUGACUCGCUGCCCGGACCGUCGGGGACACUGCCAGCCUCAGUGCGAAUGCAUGUGGUCCAGGUACACAGAAAGGAUCGUGGGAAUGCAGAGGGGGGCGACUCGCUGCCCGGACCAUCAGGGAGGGCAGAGGAGGAAGUGACAUUUGAACCAGGUUUUGUAGGAUGAGUGAGAUGUGCCGUCUGGGAACAGGUGAGGGAAGGGGUGCCAGAAGGCACGGCUUCCAGUCAUGUUGGCCAAGUGUUUGCAGAGCACUGUGUGCUCUGAGAUCCACACAUCCGCAGACAGACUGGGGAGUUUAAAAAUACAAAUUUUCGUACAAGUUUCCAUACAAACUGACUCUUAGGAGGCAUC
ensembl:lncRNA